UGGGGAAUUUUGGACAAUGGGCGAAAGCCUGAUCCAGCAAUGCCGCGUGUGUGAAGAAGGCCUUCGGGUUGUAAAGCACUUUUGCCCGGAAAGAAAUCCUCUGGGUUAAUACCUCGGGGGGAUGACGGUACCGGAAGAAUAAGCACCGGCUAACUACGUGCCAGCAGCCGCGGUAAUACGUAGGGUGCAAGCGUUAAUCGGAAUUACUGGGCGUAAAGCGUGCGCAGGCGGUUUUGUAAGACGGAUGUGAAAUCCCCGGGGCUUAACCUGGGAACUGCAUUCGUGACUGCAGGGCUAGAGUAUGGCAGAGGGGGGUAGAAUUCCACGUGUAGCAGUGAAAUGCGUAGAGAUGUGGAGGAAUACCGAUGGCGAAGGCAGCCCCCUGGGCCAAUACUGACGCUCAUGCACGAAAGCGUGGGGAGCAAACAGGAUUAGAUACCCUGGUAGUCCACGCCCUAAAACGAUGUCAACUAGUUGUUGGGGAUUCAUUUCCUUAGUAACGUAGCUAACGCGUGAAGUUGACCGCCUGGGGAGUACGGUCGCAAGAUUAAAACUCAAAUGAAUUGACGGGGU
rnacentral:rRNA from 1 species